AGUUUCACAUACACAAUUUAACGAGUCUUUAAGAUUUAGAAACUUCGACGACCGCAUUUCGUAUGAACGAUUUUCAUAAAUUAUCUUUGGCUCGAAGUCCUGCAUUACACAUUUCUAAACAUCUGCGAUGGUAGCUAACUUUCACAAUAUUCGACGUUAUGUCAUUUCUGUGCUGUAAAACUGGAUGUCGUGUCACACUAUGAUUUUCGGCCUUGUGAUACCCCGUUUACAUCCCUGGUAAUCUUGUUGAUUCAGCAGUACAAGGUAGUAAAUGGAAGUCUAUCGAGAUGCUUGUUGCAAUAAGCUUUGUGACACAGCAGAGAACACUGGACUAAAUUUUAUUCAGGUUAGAGAAAACUUGGCUGAUUAUAGGGAAAAACAAGGAAUUUGGCCCCUACAAUUUGUGUGGGAAGGAGUGAGUCCUUACCUCCUCACCCUCGGGAAGGCUACCAGUAGAAAUUCCUCAAUGGAAUAAAAGAGCUGUACGGGAGAAAUGAUUUUAAAUCAGAGUGACAACUUGCUUUGCUACCUGUCUGACAUUUUAUGUUACUGAGCAAAUGAUCAAAACAUUUUUUUCCUGCAUACUCAAUCCCUCUCUCUCCCAUUGACAGCUUUAACAAUGGGUAAUAAAGAUCU